rnacentral:rRNA from 1 species
UACGUAGGGUGCGAGCGUUGUCCGGAAUUAUUGGGCGUAAAGGGCUCGUAGGCGGUUUGUCGCGUCGGGAGUGAAAUCAUCUGGCUUAACUGGGUGCUUGCUUUCGAUACGGGCAGACUAGAGGUAUGCAGGGGAGAACGGAAUUCCUGGUGUAGCGGUGAAAUGCGCAGAUAUCAGGAGGAACACCGGUGGCGAAGGCGGUUCUCUGGGCAUGAUCUGACGCUGGAGGAGCGAAAGCUAGGGGAGCAAACGGG